UAUAAUAUCUUUUGGCGGUCUUAUAUA
rnacentral:piRNA from 1 species